UAUCUGUCUAUACAUAUAUAUAUUAGUGUAAGUAGAAAUAGAAUUAGUAGUAGAUGUAAUAGUAAUAGGACUGAUUAUAGGAGUUGCUUAUAUUUUGUGAUAUUUCUUUUGUCCAGCAGAUGAUCCAGACAACAAUGGACACAAGUCAGAUGCCGUACUCCCCGUUGAUUCCCACACUGACCACUCACAUGCAGCAGCUGCACAUCACUCCCGGCUCACAAGGAGGUUACUUAACAGCAAGUGGGGGUUAUCCAGCCUCUCCCUAUACCCCUAUGAUGCAACACAUGGCAAUGAUGGAGGACUCGGCUGCCCAUUCACCUGACGAGUAUCAACCCUAUCCAACUAACGCAGGACCUAUCCAGUGUCAGCAACAGCCCAAGUAACACUGUAUAAAGCUAGGCUUUAUUGUAUUGAAAAUUGCACUACUGUCCUCAUGACGUGUGUGAGCAGAAAAAGAAUCACGGUGCCCAGUGUUCUCAGGGCACAGUCCUGUUGUUGACUGAAGAAAAACACAUUUCAACACAGAUCCUUCAUCACUACCAGCAUUAUAUGGACUCUAUUAGAAUGUAUAAGAGUCUUCUCCUAAGAUACUACGUCAAUGUCUCAGCCUUGAUGUAAAGAGGCCAUGAAAUAUCUUUGGGGAAGCACACAGUCUUCUCUUGGAAACUCAAGAAGAUCACAACAUAGUGAGUUCCAUAAUGAGAAAAGAUAUCAAGUCCAAACAGUUGGGAGGGUCAGAUAUUUUGACUCAUACUCCAUAUAAAGCUCUUGUUGAGCCGAAAAUUCAUGUGAUCAUAUGUAGUGUGGAGGAGAAUUCACCAAUUGCAAUCAGGUAACAAAAUUCCAGUACUCAUAUGAAGUUUGUAAAAAUGGGCCAUUUUGAAAGACCUGUGAUUCAUUUAGAAAGAAGUUUAGAUUGACUAGAGUAGAGUUAUUUCUUGUUAAGCAAGUGCAACCUUAUGGGGGGAGGGGUUAUUUGAAAUAAAUGAAGAUUUUUGGAGAAAUUCUAUAAUUAGUGAAGAAAAUUGAUAAAGUGAUUAUUUGUGCUCUACCAUUAACAAUAUUACACAUCUGAACAAUUUAUAAUGAUAUACAUCAUUAUGAAUAUUGUUCCAAAUCAUUCUUCUAUUCAGGAAGUGUCUGAAUGUGUAUGUUGGUGUUAUUUAUUAAUAUUUUAUUCAUAAAGCAGCCUGCUUGUAGAAAGUGAUUCUGCAGGCUUAUGUAUGAGGAUAUAGGCUUUUUCUUCACAUCUCCGAGGCUUGUGAAUGAAUUUAGGCUUUUCCUUCACAUUUUAUUUGUUGAUUUAUAUAUUUGUUUUUUUCUCUCAUUUUUUCCAAGAAUCUAUUUUCACACAAUCAACUCACUGUGGCCACUCCAAACUGUAGUCAGGGCUAUAUUCAAUAAUUAUUUAGAAAUGCCACUGUCAGAAAAGUGAAUUUAUACUGAUAAAGAAUGCCAUAUCACAAAUUUUGGAGAAAUUGGCAAUAAUUUGCCCAUUGUCCAGCAUGUAAAAUUUAGAUAAGUGUUUCAUGGACCAAGAUCUUUCUUCAGAUUAAACAGAAAACUGAUUAUUGAAAAAAUGUCUGAUUUUAGUGAAUUAAUUGAUGAUAAUAUGAAAGAAAUAUUUUGACUCAGUUUACUGAUGCAUAAAUUGUUCACUUUUUUAUUUCACUGUAAUACCUAUUUUUUCAUCAAUUUCUUACAGCCAUUGCUUCAGAAGAGCUUUAUACUUUUGUGUACAGUAUUCACAGAAAUUAUUAUAUUCAUAUAUUCUGUUAUCAUGUUCAAGUAGGUAUUUGAUUCACUUGUAAAAAAAAAAUAUAUAUAUGAUGAUUGAUUAUGCUAAUCUUCCUGUCUAUGUCUAAUACAAAUGUGUUCAUCUUAUUUAUCUUAAAAGAUAGCACGUCAUUUUUCCACUUUCAUUGAGAGUAUGUGGAAAAAUAUUUUAUAUUUGUUAGGACAAUGAAGCAACAAAUUAGCUAAAUUUUAGAUAGAAGUAAAAGGGAGAAAGGUUUAAUGACACAUGUAAUGGCAAAAUAAAAAGAAGAUAAUAAUAAUAAAAAAUGAAGCAAAACUGUAAACCAUGAAUUUUGGUAAUAAUAAGUAGUUUACACUUAUUGUGGUUUGUCAGUGUCAUGGUGAAGAUUAUGAAACUAAUGACAUGGUUAAGGUGCUUGAUAUUUUUUAUGUUUAGAUGGUCUAUAUAUGAAAUUCAUAAUCACACAGUAGUAUCUACAUGUGGAGAUUGUUAGCCAAUUGUUGAAUAUAGCCUAUAUGAUUAUUACAGUGCAUAUAGAAUAUAAUUUCACUUGUAUUGUUUAAUACACAACAAAGUACCACUGUCAUGCUGUCAUGUUAAUUGCAUAUAAUUCCAUAAUUCUGCAUAAGUUCUUCCUUGCCCCCUUUUGAUUUGAUUUUAACUGCUCUUAAUACUCAGAAUAUUACAAACAUUAUUUACCCGAGGAAUUAGAUUCAUGUGAUAUAUUUUCCUAUGUAUCAC